AAAGCGGGCCGUCUUAUCGCUGCUACGAGGUGCAAACUGAAGAGUUGAGGAAAGUCCGAACAGUGCAGAGCAUCAUGCUACCUAACGGGUAGGGGGGAAUCGGGCGACUGAUUGCCUACAGCCAGUGCCACAGAAAAUAUACCGCCGCAAGGUAAGGGUGAAAAGGUAGAGUAAGAGCCUACCGCUUGUCUGGUGACAGACAGGGCAUGGUAAACCUCAUGAACUGAAAGACCAAAUAAACCGACACAGCCAUCUGCAAAGAUAGCUUAAGGGCUGCUCGCCCGAGUCGGAGGGUAGGUUGAUAGAAGCAGCAGGCAACUGUUGUUCCAGAUAAAUGAUAAGACUUUAGCAGAAAUGUUAAAGACAGAAUUCGGCUUACAGGCUCGCUUUUUUC
rnacentral:RNase_P_RNA from 1 species